rnacentral:rRNA from 1 species
AACGAACGCUGGCGGCAUGCCUAACACAUGCAAGUCGAACGGGACCUUCGGGUCUAGUGGCGCACGGGUGCGUAACGCGUGGGAACCUGCCCUUAGGUUCGGAAUAACUCCCCGAAGGGGGUGCUAAUACCGGAUAAUGUCUUCGGACCAAAGAUUUAUCGCCUUUGGAUGGGCCCGCGUUGGAUUAGCUAGUUGGUAGGGUAAAAGCCUACCAAGGCGACGAUCCAUAGCUGGUCUGAGAGGAUGAUCAGCCACACUGGGACUGAGACACGGCCCAGACUCCUACGGGAGGCAGCAGUGGGGAAUAUUGGACAAUGGGCGAAAGCCUGAUCCAGCAAUGCCGCGUGAGUGAUGAAGGCCUUAGGGUUGUAAAGCUCUUUUACCCGGGAUGAUAAUGACAGUACCGGGAGAAUAAGCUCCGGCUAACUCCGUG